AGUUACUCGAACAGUGCAACGAGAUUUUGGCGCCACAGCUGGGAGUGAGGCUUUUGUUCCAUAACAAAAACAAGCGCCUGAGUGGCAAGGCUGCCAGCGCCCAGCCCAGCCGAGCAGGCAUAAAGGAGCCCGCGUCGCGGAUGUUUGUGACCUGUCAUUAGAGACAGCUCCCUCAGCUUCCAAACGAUCACAUGGAGACAAUGUGGCAAAUUAUAUUUGUACCAGCAAAGAUCCUUGUCGAGCCGCGAAGGGAAGCCAGCUGCCAUGUCAUCAGCCGCCCUGUGGAGUGGCCCUGCUGGCAAGGAACUGAUGUCUUUAGCCAACAGCCAGCAAGGAUCUGAGGCCCUCAGACCAAAAACCAUCAAAGAACUAAAUGCUGCCAACAACCACGGGAGGGAGCUGAGAAGUGGAUUCUCCACCAGUCCCAGCCUAGAGAUGACUGCAGCCCUGGCUGACACCUUGAUUGCAGCUUUGUGAACCAGAGACACCCAGAUGAAGAUUCCUUGAAGCCUGAAGUGGGGAGGCAGAAUAUCUGAAAUGAAAAGCAACUUCCUCUGUUUCCCAUUGGACAUCUUAUUGUGCCAAGAAAGACAAAGGAUGAGCAUUCACAAAAUGGUCACUCAUGAAGCGUGGUGUUGCCAGCAAGCCAAAUAUGAGACAUGUCUGUGCCUUUUUAGCCAUUUAUGGGUAGCAGCUGUUCAGGAGAGAAGGGUUGGAGGCUGUGUUGAGUAACAGCACUGGCUUUGGCAUUGGGCAGACUUGUUUCAAAUCUCAGUUAAUAUCUCCAAGCUCCAAUGGCACUGUCCAAUAAAGCACAAUGAAAGCAUCAUGUGAGGUUUUACAUUUUCUAGUACCAUAUUUAAACACAUAAAAAGAAACAGGUGACAUUAAUUUUAAUAAUAUAUUUAACAAAGUAAUUUCAAAAAUCAUGCAAUCAAUACAGAAAUACUGAGAUAUUUUACAUUCUUUUGUCUAAUACUAAAUCUUUGAAAUAUAGUAUGUAUUUUAUACUUAUAAAAUAUAUUUUUUCUUUUUUUGAAAUGGAGUCUUGCUCUGUCGCCCAUGCUGGAGUGCAGUGGCGUGACCUUGGCUCACUGCAACCUCCACCUCCCGGGUUCAAGCAAUUCUCCUGCCUCAGCCUCCCAAGUAGCUGGGACUACAGGCACACACCACCACGCUUGGCUAGUUGUUUUGUAUUUUUAGUAGAGACCGGGUUUCGUCAUGCUGGCCGGGCUGCUCUUGAACUCCUAACCUCAGGUGAUCUGCUCACCUCAGCCUCCCAAAGUGCUGGGAUUACAGGCAUGAGCCACUGUGCCUGGCCCACUUAUAGAACAUUUUAAUUCAGAUUUGCCACAUUUUAAGUACUCAGUGUUCAUAUGUGGCUAAUGGCUACCUUACUGAACAGUGCAGAUCUAUAAGAAGAGAUAAUAAAAUUGCUGUAGCCAUUUUUCCUUUUUGUUUGUUAAAGGUUAGAGAUAAUAUGUACAAUGCUUGGCAUACAGUAGGAGUUUAAUACAGGUGAACUGUGAUUAUUAUUAGCUAUGAGUGCUCAAUUUCCUUUCUGUUUCCUUUACCAGCACUUUGAAAUUUUCAUUGCUCUUCUCUCUCUUCAUGGCUUUUACCAUGAUCUUCCAUUUUCAAUGGAUAAUCUUAUUUUCCCCUUCAAAGAGAACAGUGGUCAGCUGAAUAUUUCACUUCACUGACUAGUGAUCCAUCUGUAAUAGAAGCUUUAUUAACUGAUAGAAUAAUUUUCACAAAUUGAAAAAGUUGGUUAAAAUAAACAAUCAUU
rnacentral:lncRNA from 10 species